ACCUCAAUAUUUGUUCAGGGGCUGAACUAAUACGCUCCUGGAAGCAGACCCAACUCUUUUUGUCAUCAUCACCCUGACAUUUUUGAGAGCA